rnacentral:misc_RNA from 1 species
GAAAUGGGUCAAUGACCCGACCCGUCAGGUUAUGGCAGCUGCGGGUGUCAGAAGGCAGUAAGAGAGCAGGCAGCAGGAAGCGACGCCCGGGAAGGUCCGAAUGACAAAUAUAGUUACUCUCAGGAGGGUAACUUUUCUGGUUUGGAUUGACCUGAACGAAUCUAAAGAUCCACCGAGUUUCAAGUGACCGGACAGGCACCAUUGAACUCAUUUCAAGCCAACGAGGGGA